UACAAAGCACUACCUGGUCUUAGUAGUCGUUGCUGUCAACAGCACACCGCCAUCCAUCAACGCAGGGGAAGCCAUCUUCUACACAGACUGGGCGGGGACGUCCUUCGUUGUGUUCUCGGUGUCGGACUCGACGAUUCUCGAUGUAGCAGCAUGAUCUGACAUGAUUUUAUCACGUAUUUCAGGCACCUCAACCUCUACCGCCACUAGCACGACACAUUAGAAAUUGGAGACCACGUGCGACUCGAUCUAACCUGGAUACACAUCCGAUUUUUGUCCGUGCGACCAGACGUAACAAGCACGCUGCCAUACUGAUUAGCGGUACGCUGGUUGGCCUAUCUUUCCCGCUCUUCCACAUGGUCAACCUGUUGCUUGUAAGGGACCCGCUCGAGGUUGCCUUCAAGUCUCCGAGACCUACGCUGCCCGCGUACAUGACGCCUAUAGAGCCUCAGGUAGUGAAGUUCUACAACUCGCCUGUCGCCCUGGGUUCAGGUGCCGGUGCAGUGCUAACAGUACCCAUCGCUGCGUUGUGUGCAAAACUAAACACGUGG
rnacentral:rRNA from 1 species